UGCCUGUGUAAGUGGAUUAUAGGUGAGUGCGACCCUCAGUGGUUACUCGGGGAUACUAUGGAGAGAAUGGCUCGUUAAAGGCAGUGUCACAGUGUGCUAUUGAGCAAUAACACUGCAGAUGCCGCCAGAGUCCUGGAUGAACCGGGUUUCCUGGCAGCCAAAGAAUUGAAGUGGACCCCCCAGCUUGAAAGCAACAAAGCUGCUGGAAAAGGAAGAGAGUCUCAACAUCCCUUGCUAUGUGCUACCUACUAACUGUUUCCAAGACUCUGACUUCUGUACUUCACAUUUAAAGAACUAACAGACUAGC